rnacentral:rRNA from 1 species
UGGGGAAUAUUGCACAAUGGGCGCAAGCCUGAUGCAGCAAUGCCGCGUGUGUGAAGAAGGCCUGCGGGUUGUAAAGCACUUUUAUUGGGAAAGAAAAACCCGGAGCUAAUACCUCCGGCAUUGACGGUACCCAAAGAAUAAGCACCGGCUAACUCAGUGCCAGCAGCCGCGGUAAUACUGAGGGUGCGAGCGUUAAUCGGAAUUACUGGGCGUAAAGCGAGUGUAGGCGGUUACCUAAGUCGGAUGUGAAAGCCCCGGGCUUAACCUGGGAAUUGCAUUCGAUACUGGGUGACUGGAGUUUGGUAGAGGUAAGUGGAAUUCCGGGUGUAGCGGUGAAAUGCGUAGAUAUCCGGAGGAACAUCAGUGGCGAAGGCGGCUUACUGGACCAAAACUGACGCUGAGGCUCGAAAGCGUGGGUAGCAAACAGG